rnacentral:lncRNA from 1 species
CUUUGCAAACAUUAAUUGCAGAAUAUUUCAAAAUCAAUAAAUAAUGGUGAUGAAGAAUAAAUAAAUGUAAGAGAGUUCCCACGUACUUUAAAUUAUAACCGAGAUGGUUCGAAUCGAAUCCUGUAGUAUAUUGAGGAUUAUCUACGUUUGCAUAAACAAUAUAGUUAUUAUAUAAUUCCUCUAACACAUCAAUAUUUCUUGCUUAUAAGAUCCGUAUAUCAAUCAUGAUGUCUUCUCGAAUUUGCAAGAAGACCAUUGAAAGAAUUGCAUAAAUACUUCUCCACAACUUGGAAUUCCAUGGAUAAUCUUCUUAUGAUAAAUCUUCAGAAAAGAUAUACAGGACCUGCAAUAGGUAUUAGUUUAAUGCACUUCGUCAUCAAGAGAAAUAUUAUUAUUAAGUUAUGGAAUUCCAUGGUAGACUUUUUUCUGUUCUUGUUGAAAAUUCAUGCAGCAAGACAUGGUGCUAAAUGCUCUCAAAGGAGAUUGAUUGAUGCAUUGUAAAUGAUGAUUAAUAUCAAUAGUUACAUAAUUAAUUAAAAGGCUGAUUAAAAGAAGUGCAUACUUCUUUUCCUGUGAUGUGUCGCUUUGCAAUAGGAGUUGGUUUUGUAAACUGAUAUCGCGUAUUCCAAUACGUUCAUCACUAAGUGGAUCAGUAAUGAAAGAAGGGGGAUCCGCGACGGAUCACUAUAAAUAUGUAAAGCGUUCGGAAUUAGAGACUAAACUGUUUUCUCUGGGUGGAGAACCGAAACUUUCCUUCACGGCCAUUCCCAUCAACACCACUCAGAGGUUAUCAAAUGAGUGAUAUUGCUGUCCCAAUCAAGAUUCAUUGAUAAACAUUAUCAGUUUAGUUGUAAGAAUCGAUUCAAUGAUCACUGCAUAAACACAUUCAUGAAAAACUGUGGAGGUAUUAAAAAGGAAAUUGACACCGGAUUCUCCUAUUGGAAAGCAAAUAUUUUCUACGUAUAGAUUUAUUGGCAGUGACUUAAUGGCAAAGGUUUCCAGAAAGUCAAUGGUUUGCAUUAAGUUAUGCUUUCUACCUAGAGAUUUCGGAUUCGAAUCAAGAUCCCAUCCCUUCAGAAAUUUAUUCCGGAUUCUUGCUUUGUUAAUCGAUCUCUGUUGCCUACAGUCUGAAUAAUCCCUCCGAAGAUAUUGGAUAUGCUGUGGGAAGAGAGAAAUUUUCUUGCUACUUAAUACCUAUUAGAUUAGAAAGUGAUGUAAUACGAAGAAUAGUAUGCCAAUCAUACGUUCUUAGAAGUAUUGUAACAAACAACCAAGUAUGACUCAUCUGAUAUAUAGUCAUUGGUCCUUUAAUGCAAAUAUUGUUUCAAACAGGAUUAUAUAUAAGUUUUAAAAGUUUGGAAACAGUCUGAUACAAAUUAAAAAAUGAUUAAAUAAUGUAACAUAUCAACGAUUCUGGACUGAGUAUAUUCAGUUUAUGGAACAUGUAUCUAGAUUUUUAAGAGUUCGAACCUCAUACUAUAGAACUUCAUACUUUUCCAGUUGACCUAUCACGAAUGUCAGUCAGCCUGUAAGGGAUCAGAAAGAAUGAGCGCAAAACAUAUAUCUUGAGAUUCACGACACAAUAAAAAAUUAAAUAACCUAAUAUUAACUAAGAUUUCCUUCAGAAAAACUGACGAUAGUUACUUGAAUCCGAUAAAUUGUGAUUGAAAUAUAUGGAGUUAUAAAAACUGC